GACGGAGGGUGCAAGCGUUGUUCGGAAUUACUGGGCGUAAAGGGCGCGUAGGCGGUCUGUUAAGUUCGGUGUGAAAGCCCCCGGCUCACCUGGGGAACUGCGCCGGAAACCGACAGACUCGAGUACCGGAGAGGAGGGUGGAAUUCCUGGUGUAGCGGUGAAAUGCGUAGAUAUCAGGAGGAACACCGGUGGCGGAAGGCGGCCCUCUGGACGGAUACUGACGCUGAGGCGACGAAAGCGUGGGGAUCAAACAGG
rnacentral:rRNA from 1 species